UACGUAGGGGGCAAGCGUUAUCCGGAAUUACUGGGUGUAAAGGGUGAGUAGGCGGCAUGGUAAGCCAGAUGUGAAAGCCUUGGGCUUAACCCGAGGAUUGCAUUUGGAACUAUCAAGCUAGAGUACAGAAGAGGAAAGCGGAAUUCCUAGUGUAGCGGUGAAAUGCGUAGAUAUUAGGAAGAACACCAGUGGCGAAGGCGGCUUUCUGGACUGAAACUGACGCUGAGGCACGAAAGCGUGGGGAGCGAACAGG
rnacentral:rRNA from 1 species